rnacentral:lncRNA from 1 species
UGGGAUACACGGUUCAGCUGUGCUCUGACAGUCCGUCAGCCUGGCUACAGUGCUGAAGAGAUAUCUGGGGUUAUUCUUAUUUUCCACAAUAAGAGACGAGUAGUAAGUUGUCCGAGCAUGUCGUAGGGCCUUCUUAUAUUUAUCAAGACAUUCCUGCCAGAGAAAACGAGCUUCAGCUGUUUUGGGAGAGCGCCAAAUCCUUUCUCGUCUUCUUAAUAACUGUUUCAGUUCACGGGUUUCAGCAUUAUACCACGGUGUCUGAGGUAUCAUCGAUGAACUGAUCAAGUUGCAAGGGACUGAUGUUUAAGUAUGAGCUAUCAGCAAAGUUCUUCUCAAGCACAGAAUUAAGAGCAGAAGGAAUUGCCUCCUUGAACUUAAUCACAGCAUUUUCAGACAACCCUCUAGUUAGCACAGCUUUGUUAUGAGGAGAGUAGCCUGAAAGCACAAAUUCAAAAGUUACUAGACAGUGAUCAGAUAAAAGAGGAUUUAAUGAGCGGACUGACAAGGCUUCAGCUUCAAGGCCAUUAGCCAGGACAAGAUCGAGGGUGUGGUUAAAGCAGUGCAUAGGUCCAUGUACACACUGUGUAAACCCAGUUGAGUCUAGCAAGGACAAGAAAGAAAUGCUUAGGCUAUCAUUUUCCACAUCCACAUGAAUAUUAAAGUCACAAACGACGAUGACUUUGUCUGCAAGAAGGACUAAAUCAGAUAAAAACUCUGAGAAUUCUGACAAAAACUCAGAGUAUGGGCUCGGAGGGCGAUAAACUAUAGCAAACACCAGUGGUCUCAUGGUCUUUGAGGCUGGAUGCGGAAGACUGAGAACAAGACUUUCAAAAGAGUUAUAAUCCAGUUUUGGUCUUGGGUUAAUUCCAAGACUGGAAUUAUAGAUAGCUGCAACUCCACCACCUCGGCCAGAGUCCUGAGGAAUGUGAAAGCUUAGGUGGCUAGGAGGAGUGGAUUCAUUUAAACUGACAUAUUCAUCCUGACGCAGCCAAGUUUCGGUUAGGGAGAGUAAAUCAAUGCGAUGAUCAGAGAUUAGUUCAUUUAUUAACACAGAUUUGGAACUUAGAGACCUUAUGUUCAAUAGACCACAUUUUAUCUUACUCGGUUCAGCUAUGUUAGCAGUUUUAAUUCUAGUAAGGUUCUUGUUAUUUACUCCUUUGUUAAUCGAUCGGUGAGAAUUAAAGAGCCGAGGACGAGGGACAGACACAGUCUCUAUAUUAAAGUGACAGUAGCUAGGAGGCUGCUCUAACGAAAGUGCAGAGGAACGUGUAGAACUGCGGCUCUGCUCCCUGAUGUCUAUAUCAAACUGAUUGUAGCUAGGAAGCUGCCCUGAAGGGAGAACAGAGGGGCGUUUUACACUGCGGCUCUGCUCCCUGCUCCCUGAUCUCUAUAUCAAACUGACUGUAGCUUGGAAGCUGCUCUGAAGGGAGAACAGAGGGGCGUUUUACACUGCGGCUCUGCUCCCUUGUCUCUGUAUGUAAGUGGUAGUGGCUGGGAAGCUGCUCUAAAGGAGGCGCAGGGGGGCGUGUAGGACUGCGGCCCUGCUCCAUGAUCUCUGCUUUGAAUUGUCAGUGGUUCGGACUAAUAAAAUCGGCCAGAUUUCUGAAUAAACGGGCCGCUCCAUCUCUAGUGGGAUGAAAGAUCUGACAUGGAGCUAAGCAGGAAAAACAAAUACAGGUCAAACCGCUCUUAUACAACUCAUCAGAAUAAACUCUGAUUGUUGAUUCAGGCCACAGCGCCCUCUGUCCAAAUACACAACCACAGAAGUCACCAACCCUGAAUAUGAAGGUUUGUCCAACCCCCACCCUUAGGCUGCUCUCACAUCUGUCCUUUCACUGUCAUUACUGAACCUGGAGACCUGAAACUGACGUUUUAACCACAGCGUCAACAGAAACAGACUCUAACACUAAUGUUUUUACCACAGAGUUAUGACUCUAACCCCCAAUUUCCACCGAAUCCUGUGAACGUCUACGAAAAGGUCGUAUCCUCUGAUUGUAGCUGAUCGUAAACAUUCAAGUUAAUGUGUCAAUUUCCACUGCCUUCUUUCCGUUCCUCUGUGGAUUGCCGAACUCCACAGCUGAUCGCAAGAGUUCUGUUUUUUCCGGACGCCGGAGCAUGCUGGAUAAAUUCCGCACAGACUAACCCGUGCUGGAAAGGAAGUCGGGCACAAACACAAAAUAAAACAUCCAGCUUCUUUUCAAAAUAAAACACUCCGUGUUUCAGGCGGGUAGUAUUUCACACCCUGCAAACGGGCGGAGAUGAACAAGUGAAAGGCUUUUAGACAUCAUUUCACCCCGAUGACACCAUGGAUGAGAAGAUGCUGAUUCAAGAAAUCUAGAAGUAGAUUUCCUCCUCUGGAAGGACACAAUCUACUGCUUAUAUGUCUAUGUGGCUGUCUUUAUAGAGACAAUUCGUUAUCACGUGAUUGAAUGUGAAUCCACUGGUUCUUGUGAGUUUUCGCGAUUACUGCUGUCUGUAAUCCACCAUGAAAUUUGUGUCACAAACGGAUCCGGUUGGAAUUGGUGUACCACAAAAAUCGCUGCAGAGCCAUUCCUGAUGCAGUGAAAAUUCAGGGUUACACAUUUACGUUUUUACCACAGAGAGGAGCCUGGAUCUGCCGACCAUCGUCUGGGGCUUUUGACCAAUCAGAGUUCAAUCCGUUGCCUGAUAAGUAAAGAAAUAAAUAUUUUCAUGUUUUUGUUUUUCCGUUCUUCAGUUUCUGUUCAGAACAUGAAGGUUGAGGACCAUGACGUCCUCAUCUCUAUCUCAGAGGUCUUUGGGGGUAUUUUAGGACAAAGUGUUUGGGAACUAUAGACUUACUGUAGUGGAGAGGAGAGCAGAAUCAGGACCUCCAACAAAGGACGGACAGGAUCAGCCAAAGUCUGGAUUCACUCUGCAGAAAUUUUCUCACAAACACACACACAAAAACCAACAAACACACAUUCAGAAAAGUGUUUCCAUCAGCAUUCAAGUCAGAGAUGUCUCCUUCCCAGCAGGCUGUGGUUCCCAGUACAACCACCAGCAGAGGGCAGCAGACCUAAGCCUGUGUGUGUGUGUGUGUGUGUGUGUGUGUGUGUGUGUGUGUGUGUGUGUGUGUGUGUGUGUGUGUGUUUGUCUGACAGGGUGAGGGCUAAAAAGAAAGUAUGCAUGCAUGAUUGUGCAGACAAAUGUGUGUGUUUGUGUGAGUG